UCCAAUCUACCAGAUACUGCAACCGACCCCGAGAAAAACGAGAAUCAAGCAGAGCAGCCACUUCGUACAUGUCACUGGAGACAGCGCGGAGGGAAUCCAGACACCUGAGAGGACCAGAGAAUCGAUUACAGAGCAGGGGCUUCAAAAGGGAGGUGUGAAAAGUGUUAGGUAUACGCAUGGAAGGAGGCAAGGCCAGGGAGUAGGACACAGGAUUGACCUUACGCAAUACUUUAUAGGGGCCAAGGAACCUUUCAUCGAGGGGACCCUGAGGCGGAGAUUCUUAGAGGACAACCAAACCCUAUCACCUGGGACAUAAGAAGGAGCAGCACCCCUACGACGAUCAGCAAAUCUCUUCUGACUAGCAGUCGCACGAGAAAGAGUAGCAUGGACCUGAUCCCACAUCUUCCGUAAGGAAGCUGCUCGUCCAAAGUGGGUAUUUUCCUUGGCGGAGAACACGCCGGGAAGGACAGAGGGUUGGAACCCAUAAGCAACCAUAAAAGGACUUAAGCCAGUGGACGAAUGAGUCACGGUGUUCCUGGCAAAUUCAGCCCAGGGAAGGAGGUGAGACCAG